AGAGACAGCACAGCCGCGGUAAUACAGAGGGUGCGAGCGUUAAUCGGAUUUACUGGGCGUAAAGCGUGCGUAGGCGGCUUCUUAAGUCGGAUGUGAAAUCCCUGAGCUUAACUUAGGAAUUGCAUUCGAUACUGGGAAGCUAGAGUAUGGGAGAGGAUGGUAGAAUUCCAGGUGUAGCGGUGAAAUGCGUAGAGAUCUGGAGGAAUACCGAUGGCGAAGGCAGCCAUCUGGCCUAAUACUGACGCUGAGGUACGAAAGCAUGGGGAGCAAACAGGAUUAGAUACCCCCGUAGUCCCUGUCUCUUAUACA
rnacentral:rRNA from 1 species